GGGGAUUAGUGGCGAACGGGUGAGUAACACGUGGGCAAUCUGCCCUGCACUCUGGGACAAGCCCUGGAAACGGGGUCUAAUACCGGAUACUUACCAUCUUGGGCAUCCAGGGUGGUGGAAAGCUCCGGCGGUGCAGGAUGAGCCCGCGGCCUAUCAGCUAGUUGGUGAGGUAAUGGCUCACCAAGGCGACGACGGGUAGCCGGCCUGAGAGGGCGACCGGCCACACUGGGACUGAGACACGGCCCAGACUCCUACGGGAGGCAGCAGUGGGGAAUAUUGCACAAUGGGCGAAAGCCUGAUGCAGCGACGCCGCGUGAGGGAUGACGGCCUUCGGGUUGUAAACCUCUUUCAGCAGGGAAGAAGCGANAGUGACGGUACCUGCAGAAGAAGCGCCGGCUAACUACGUGCCAGCAGCCGCGGUAAUACGUAGGGCGCAAGCGUUGUCCGGAAUUAUUGGGCGUAAAGAGCUCGUAGGCGGCUUGUCACGUCGGUUGUGAAAGCCCGGGGCUUAACCCCGGGUCUGCAGUCGAUACGGGCAGGCUAGAGUUCGGUAGGGGAGAUCGGAAUUCCUGGUGUAGCGGUGAAAUGCGCAGAUAUCAGGAGGAACACCGGUGGCGAAGGCGGAUCUCUGGGCCGAUACUGACGCUGAGGAGCGAAAGCGUGGGGAGCG
rnacentral:rRNA from 2 species